rnacentral:rRNA from 1 species
UCAUCGGCCUCAGAUUGGUAGGACUACCCGCUGAACUUAAGCAUAUCAAUAAGCGGAGGAAAAGAAACUAACAAGGAUUCCCCUAGUAACGGCGAGUGAAGAGGGAAGAGCCCAAGAUUGAAAGCUGGCGUCUUCGGCGUCCGCAUUGUAAUCUCAAGAAGUGUUUUCCGCUUCGGACCAAGCCUAAGUCCCCUGGAAAGGGGCAUCAUAGAGGGUGAUAAUCCCGUACAUGGCUUGGAGCGCCCGUAGCUUUGUGAUACACUUUCUAAGAGUCGAGUUGUUUGGGAAUGCAGCUCAAAAUGGGUGGUAAAUGCCAUCUAAGGCUAAAUAUUGGGGAGAGACCGAUAGCGAACAAGUACAGUGAUGGAAAGAUGAAAAGAACUUUGAAAAGAGAGUUAAACAGUACGUGAAAUUGCCAAAAGGGAAGGGUAGGAGGUCAGAGAUGCGGCCUAGGAUUCAGCCUUGCUUUUGCUUGGUGUUUUUCCUAGAUUGCAGGCCAACGUCGGUUUUGGGCACUGGAGAAGGGUGGAAGGAACGUGGCACCUCUCGGGGUGUGUUAUAGCCUUCUACUGGAUACAGCGACCGAGACCGAGGACAGCAGCGUACUCGCAAGAGCGGGCCUUCGGGCACCUUUACGCUUAGGGCGUUGGCAUAAU